rnacentral:rRNA from 1 species
UACGUAGGGGGCAAGCGUUGUCCGGAAUUAUUGGGCGUAAAGAGCGUGUAGGCGGUCCGGUAAGUCAGCUGUGAAAGUCAAGGGCUCAACCCUUGAAAGCCGGUUGAUACUGUCGGGCUAGAGUCCGGAAGAGGCGAGUGGAAUUCCCGGUGUAGCGGUGGAAUGCGCAGAUAUCAGGAGGAACACCGAUGGCGAAGGCAGGUCUCUGGGCCAUUACUGACACUGAGAAGCGAAAGCAUGGGGAGCGAACAGG